CCUACGGGAGGCAGCAGUGGGGGAUAUUGCACAAUGGGGGAAACCCUGAUGCAGCGACGCCGCGUGGGUGAAGAAGCGCCUCGGCGCGUAAAGCCCUGUCAGCAGGGGAGAAAAUGACGGUACAUGAAGAAGAAGCCCCGGCUAACUACGUGCCAGCAGCCGCGGUAAUACGUAGGGGGCAAGCUUUAUCCGGAUUUACGGGGUGUAAAGGGGUCGCAGACGGCGAUGCAAGCCAGAAGUGAAAGCCCGGGGCCCAACCCCGGGACUGCUCUUGGAACUGCGUGGCUAGAGUGCAGGAGGGGCAGGCGGAAUUCCUGGUGUAGCGGUGAAAUGCGUAGAUAUCAGGAGGAACACCGGUGGCGAAGGCGGCCUGCUGGACUGCAACUGACGUUGAGGCCCGAAAGCGUGGGGAGCAAACAGGAUUAGAUACCCUGGUAGUC
rnacentral:rRNA from 1 species